rnacentral:tRNA from 1 species
UUAAUUGAAGCCAAAGAGGAGGCCUAUCACUGUUAAUGAUAUAAUUGAAUAUUUAUAUUCCAAUUAAG